rnacentral:rRNA from 1 species
UACGGGGGGGGCAAGCGUUGUUCGGAAUUACUGGGCGUAAAGGGUUUGUAGGUGGCCCGCUAAGUCACACGUGAAAUCCCUCAGCUUAACUGGGGAACUGCGUGUGAGACUGGCAGGCUCGAGGGCAGGAGAGGAACGCGGAAUUCCAGGUGUAGCGGUGAAAUGCGUAGAUAUCUGGAGGAACACCGGUGGCGAAGGCGGCAUCCUGGACCAACACUGACACUGAUGAGCGAAAGCCAGGGGAGCAAACGGG